rnacentral:rRNA from 1 species
UACGAAGGGGGCUAGCGUUGUUCGGAAUCACUGGGCGUAAAGCGCACGUAGGCGGAUUGCUAAGUCAGGGGUGAAAUCCUGGAGCUCAACUCCAGAACUGCCUUUGAUACUGCUGAUCUCGAGUCCGGAAGAGGUGAGUGGAAUUCCUAGUGUAGAGGUGAAAUUCGUAGAUAUUAGGAAGAACACCAGUGGCGAAGGCGGCUCACUGGUCCGGUACUGACGCUGAGGUGCGAAAGCGUGGGGAGCAAACAGG